AGAGUUUCCUUCUGGCUCAGAUUGAACGCUGGCGGAAUGCUUUACACAUGCAAGUCGAACGAUGAACCUUAGCUUGCUAAGGGGAUUAGUGGCGAACGGGUGAGUAAUAUAUCGGAACGUGCCUUGUAAUGGGGGAUAACUAGUCGAAAGAUUAGCUAAUACCGCAUACGCCCUGAGGGGGAAAGUAGGGGAUCUUCGGACCUUACGUUAUAAGAGCGGCCGAUAUCUGAUUAGCUAGUUGGUGGGGUAAUGGCCUACCAAGGCGACGAUCAGUAGCUGGUCUGAGAGGACGACCAGCCACACUGGAACUGAGACACGGUCCAGACUCCUACGGGAGGCAGCAGUGGGGAAUUUUGGACAAUGGGCGCAAGCCUGAUCCAGCCAUUCCGCGUGAGUGAAGAAGGCCUUCGGGUUGUAAAGCUCUUUCGCAAGGGAAGAAAACUUACUUUCUAAUAAAGAGUGAGGCUGACGGUACCUUGAUAAGAAGCACCGGCUAACUACGUGCCAGCAGCCGCGGUAAUACGUAGGGUGCGAGCGUUAAUCGGAAUUACUGGGCGUAAAGCGUGCGCAGGCGGUUUGGCAAGUCAGAUGUGAAAUCCCCGAGCUCAACUUGGGAACUGCGUUUGAAACUGCCAGACUAGAAUAUGUCAGAGGGGGGUAGAAUUCCACGUGUAGCAGUGAAAUGCGUAGAGAUGUGGAGGAAUACCAAUGGCGAAGGCAGCCCCCUGGGAUAAUAUUGACGCUCAUGCACGAAAGCGUGGGGAGCAAACAGAAUUAGAUACCCUGGUAGUCCACGCCCUAA
rnacentral:rRNA from 1 species